UACGAAGGGUGCAAGCGUUACUCGGAAUUACUGGGCGUAAAGCGUGCGUAGGUGGUUUGUUAAGUCUGUUGUGAAAUCUCUGGGCUCAACUCAGAGUCUGCUGUGGAAACUGCCGUGCUAGAGUGUGGGAGAGGUGAGUGGAAUUCCACGUGUAGCAGUGAAAUGCGUAGAGAUGUGGAGGAAUACCGAUGGCGAAGGCAGCCUCCUGGGCCAACACUGACGCUCAUGCACGAAAGCGUGGGGAGCAAACAGG
rnacentral:rRNA from 1 species